GAGGAGGAAGGUUGGGGUCGUCCGCAGAAGAGCCCAUGAGCUUGCAACUCCGAAGGCAGAGACACAAACGAACUUGGAGUGGCAAGACCCUGGAGGCACCCUGUGCUAGGGUGCUGACUGUGUCUCCAAACCUGUUGCAAGUAUAUGCAUGUAACUGAGGAUUUCCCUUUCCUACAAAUAUUGAUAAUCAAUUCCGCUAGGAGAGACGCACCCUGUGCACAGAGGAUGGACUGCACCUCACAAGACAAGUCCACGUGCUGCUGCCGGAGACACACCAAUUCCGCUGGGCGCGAACGGAUUCCAGUAGCGCGUCUGUCACCGAUCACUUAUCAUACCUACGAUUUUCAUUAUAGUUGGGACAACUGCAAGGAAUACACAACCUCCUGCACAAAGUUGGUACGUUUUACAGAAUGUUUUAUUUUAUGGGAUUAUGAAAAAAAAAUGUUCAGUGUAGGCUAUUCUUGGAAGAAAAAGAAUGCUCUUUAAAAUAAUUCAGGUUUGAAGGGCACCGGAGGUCUUUCAUUGAUGACCGGUAAAAUUGAAAUACUGCGAAUAUCAUAAUUUGAAGAAAGCUAUAGAAAGGGGUAGGCUAUGCGCUCCUUGGUGUCUAAUGAUGUUAACCCUACAGCGAGUCACGGGUGGCUGAUCUGAGUUCACGAGUGCAAAUAUUGUAAUAGGCCUAUGAACACGAGCGAAAACGAAUACCCAGUCUAAAUGAAAGCCAAUAAUCACAGCCUGUGAAUAGGGCCCUGUACGUUUCUUGUUUCCAGAUUGUUUUAGUCAGUUAGUCAUAUCCUACGAUAAACUUUAUAUUGCGCCUGCCUACCUGACGUUCUAAAAUGGUUUAGAAAUUGAAAAAUGUAUGUUGGCUAUUUUUACAUCUCUGAAUAGUGACUAAAGGAACACUACAACAAUACAAUAACUCAAAGAUCAGCUCAUCAUCUAGGCCUAAUGGCACUAAAUGCAUGCAAUGAAAACAGAUCCUCUUGUACCAGUUGUCAAUAACCCACUGAACAGACUAGACAGAAUUGCACAGACAAGUUGCAGCCAUAAAACACAAUCAGUGUACUUUAAGCGGGACUAGCCUAAUCUACUUCAUCUCUCAUUUUUCUCAACAAGAGAAAAGCUAAAACGAAUGUAUUAUUAUUAUCAUUAUUAUUGAUGUUCUAUUUGCUGUAGCAGAACCAGAAGUAGACCAGUAGUAGUUGUUAGUAAUUAGUAGCUCAGUGGAAUAGUGGUCGCUUAGACAAGUGGUAAACCAUGCCCAUAUUUUUCUUCCAGUUAUUCUACUUUCCUAUAUCAUUUCCGUAAUUUAAUAUCUACAAGAAAUAAUGGCUAUCGUUAUCUGACAUAAACUAGCUAUGCUGCUGGAUUUUCGAUUAAUUGUAGGCCAUUAGGCUGUAUGUCGUGCGAAAUGUAGGCCUAGGCCCAUGCCAUUUAAAAUGUCUGGACAAGACAGAGUAAAGCAGAUAAGGCUACUUGCGCAUACAAGUUAACUUUGUUAAUGGCUAGGUGUGUUGUAUAUAAAGACAACAACGGUGAUGAUUUUCAUUGUUUGCUAGCACAGGAUGAUAUAUCGAUGUGGGCUUUCAUCCUGUAUCGUAUGCAGUGCCUUAGUUUAAUAAUGUAGAACACGUAGUCUAGGUCUUAUGUUGUCGUUAUUUGCAUUCAUUAAUACCAUUAUCGUAUCUUGUAGAUGACUAAGAGGGCCCAUGGAUGGAGUCGCCAGUGUCUGUCAGCGAAGCUGGCUAGAAUAUGCACCGAGAGUGGUUUCUAUCUUUGGUUUUCUAGCUGUAUGAGUGUUAAGAACCUUUCAUAAAGCUAGACAACCGAAAGUAGGAAUGAUCCUCACAUUCGCCUUGUUCUACUGGAAAUGCAGCCGACGAAAAUCUUCUUUGCACAUCCAAGGUAGGAUGGCUUUUAAAAAUUGACAACAGCAGAUUAGUAAUGACGACACUGGGUUUUAAAUCGGAUUCAAGCUUUGUGAACCAUGUGAAACUUCAAGUAGGUUUUGGCCGAAAGAUUGGAUUAAAGAAAUGAAAUGAAUAUAAGGGAAUAAUUCAGCUCAUUACCUAAGAUUGAAUUAUUUUAUACAGAGCUGUUUUAAUUGCAUUGUGUCUUGUAUAGGGCUUCGUUUAUGCGCGAAGUAUAUUCCAAUAACAUAUAGUCCAAAUGUAUUUUGGCAGUCAAAAUAUCCCAGAUAUGUUCCAUCCACAACGUGAUCCCCAAAAUUAAGGCAUAGAGCGAAACAGGUUGCUCACGUGGGUCACCAGCAUUUUCUCUUCUGAAAUCAAACUUUUUUAGAAUGAAUAGGCCUAUGUUCUCGAGUUCUCUUUUAAGUCAUAAACUGACUUAAUUUAUUAAAACCUAUUGCUGUGUAAUGCAGCUUAUUUGUUGAUAAGACCCAAACUGAGAUAGGCAAACCAAACAAGUAUACAAAAAAGCAUUAUACCAUAAUAGGCAAUAGGUUGCCUAUUAAUUGUCCAAAUCAAGAUGUUUAAAGGGAGAUUGCAAUUAUGGGAAAGAACCCAAGAAUUGCAGAAAUGAAGACGCAAUGAGAGGCUAAUUUGGCAAUCACAAAACACUCAGACGUGAUGUGGGAAUGUCCAACAUGUGAGCACAUAUGGUGUUUGUCUAUCACAUAUUUACAGGUUACAAUUAUACACAGAUAUACUUCAUACAAAACUUCAGUAACAUCUGAAAUAUUCGAAUAAUUGAAACAAUUAAAUGUGCAAAAUGUAAUAAUGUAGGUUUAAAUUCUCUUUUUGAGUCCAUUAAGAAGUUAUUUAGCACCUGUGUUGUGGGCAUUGCAUAUUGCUUUUUUUUUUUUAGCAUUUUAGUGCUUCAUUCUUACAUGCAUAGAAAAGUGCUUGUGAUAAAAUGACCACAUAUAAAUAUGCUGCUGUUGGACAAUAUAUAUGUAUUUAUUUAUUACUUGUGAUUGUAUAGAACAAUGUGUUUCAUUUAUUUUUAUGUAUAAGGAAUGAUAUGAUUUUGCACACAUUAGUGUACUGAGAUAAACAUUGUAUUUAUAUAUUCACACUAUGCUUAUUAGUAAUUCAGUCAGCUGACUACAGUACAUUAAAUACAUUAUUGUACCUCGCACUUACUGUACUAAACAAUUGCAGAGGUUGCCAUGACCUUACGUUGUUAGAAAUGGCCGUAUUUGUGAUGUUUUGUCUUUUUUCUUCCCUUUCUCACAGCUGUGUGUUACCCAGAGGAGGACCCUGGCAGAGGCACCGUUAGUGCUAAAGAUAGAAGGAGAAAAUGUCUGCCCUCAGCUCUCCCCUCCCUACCCAGAAAACCCUGGGUGCCAUCUGAGAGGAGAGAAGCCAUGCCACUGCCAACGGCGAAAGAUAGAGCCUGUUGGGUUGCGGGCAUGUGGGUGCGGGCAAGGAGGCCAUCUUAUCCGGGAAUGUCUCUGCAGCAUCUAAGAUGGCUGAGCUGGCAUCCGAGAUGCGUUCCAUGGGGUGGAAUAUGACAUUU